rnacentral:rRNA from 1 species
ACGCUCGACACCUACGGGAGGAGCAGUUAGGAAUAUUGGGCAAUGGAGGAAACUCUGACCCAGCAACGCCGCGUGAAGGAAGAAGGUUUUCGGAUUGUAAACUUCUGAUCUAGGGGAAGAAGGAAGUGACGGUACCCUAGGAGAAAGCCACGGCUAACUACGUGCCGCAGCCGCGGUAAUCUGAGCGGGCGUGGCAAGGC